rnacentral:rRNA from 1 species
CAGUAGUCAUAUGCUUGUCUCAAAGAUUAAGCCAUGCAUGUCUAAGUACAAGCCUCACUAAGGUGAAACCGCGAAUGGCUCAUUAUAUCACACCUAAUCUACUGGAUAGUUAACAGUUACUUGGAUAACUGCGGUAAUUCUGGAGCUAAUACAUGCACAAAGCCCCGAACUUACGUGAGGGGCGCUUUUAUUAGAUCAAAACCAAUCGGCUUCGGCUGAACUCUUGGUGACUCUGAAUAACUUUGGGCUGAUCGCAUAGCCUAGCGCUGGCGACAUAUCCUCCGAAGGUGUGCCCUAUCAACUGUCGACUGUGGCAUAGACGCCCACAGUGGUUUUGACGGGUAACGGGGAAUCAGGGUUCGAUUCCGGAGAGGGAGCCUUAAAAACGGCUACCACAUCUAAGGAAGGCAGCAGGCACGCAAAUUACCCAAUGACCGAAGGUCGAGGUAGUGACGAAAAAUAACGAUACAGGACUCAUCUGAGGCCCUGUAAUCGGAAUGAGUACACUUUAAAACCGUCCCCGAGGAUCUAUUG